GUUUUGUUCACAGCGAGUAACAAGCUUUUUUUUUUCACAGGGACUUCAAAGCCUUUCUGUUACAGCGACUAAAAAGCAUUUCUUUCACAUCGACUAACCAGUGUUUCUUUCAUAGCGACUAAAAUGAAAAAAAAUCAGACUCUUGGAGAAAUGAGUGACACUACAAUUUCUUGGAACUCUCUUUGAUGUCCUGGAAUGGCGACCCGAGGUCAGCAGAAUCAAAGCAUUAAAGGUCGUUAGCAGUUAAUCCUGAUUGCAGCAAACAAUUGUGCACUGGAGACAUCGGUCUGGUUAUAUUGAGGUCCCAGGUAAUGUUUAUGGUGAACUUGAUCUUCACUGAGAUGAGGUGAUGCAUACCACCAGGGACUGUGGUCAUCAUGCACAAGAUUUGGUAAUGUAUCAGUUCAGUUAUUUAUUUGAGGGUAAACGUUACUGGUGAAGAACUACUUCUGAAAUGGACCACCUUAUAAAUGGAAUAGCUACGCCAAGGAUUUUGGAAAAUCUAAACCUUGUUUAUUGAUAAUUAGAUAAGGAAUGUGAAAUUCUCAACAAAAUAAAACAAAAAGAAAAUGAUGAAGUUUGAAUCUCCACAAGACAAAUCUCUUCAGUAGUAAAGACAGUUUGUAACCAGCAGUAUAUUGAAUAUUCUACAACAGCAAGAUGGAAAAACCGACCGAGGUAGAACAACCUUAAUAACCAGUUGACUUGCUUUCACAAAAUUGUGCUGGAACAAUCCAAACAAAUUGAAAAGCCUCCUUUGAAUACCUGCAGUUAAUCACCAAGAUAUGUAAAUGCUAAUUUCAACUAAAUGUUCCCUCAGUUGAGUAGUCUCCUUUCUGCAACCGGACCUGUUUGGAUGCGCAUCGUUGGAGGAAACGGGGGAGAUCUCUUACAGAGCUUUGACUAGACGCCAGACCAAUUUGGAUAAUCAUUUAUAGAGUGCACAGGUGCAAAGAGUCAAAAACAGUACGCCAAAUUGAGACGAUGGUGUCUGGAGAAAACCUACACCCAAUGUUGAGGCUAAUGCUUUUUGGACAGAGUGGGUUCAUCUGCAGAAGAACUGUGUCAAGUCUAUCUGUGCUACAUGUUGAACUGAUGAAGUGAUGUCCAGACAUUGAGGCUAAAUGACACUGGACUGUGUGCCAAAAACUAAAGUGGAGCAGUCUCUUGUGGAGUGGUGACUACAACCGAAGAGGAUUGGAUGAGCAUCAUUGAGAAAUAAAGGGUGUAUGGUGACUACAAGUGGACCUGUUUGGAUAAGCAACCGUUUGAGGAUACCCGGGAGUGGUGCAUAUAUACAACCGAACAUGUUUGGAUGAGCAUCGGUAGAUGAUACAGGAGCAAAGAGUUCACCACAGAAUGCUUGAUUGUGAAGAUGCCUUUUGGAGAUGACACAAUACCAAUCUUGAGGCUUCAAUCAAUGCUUUUUGGACUGAGUUCAACCAACUGAAGGACUGUGUUAAUGUCAAGCCAGAUGAUUCUCACGGACUACAAAUUUAACUGAUGAGAUUGAGAAGAUGCCCUCUGAAGAUGACCUACAACCAAUCUUGAGGCUAAUCAAUGCCACUGUCUGAGGGAGGAUGACGUCAAGUCUAGCCAUGAUUCUCUGCUUCACUCCUAAAGUGACUUCAGGAUGUUGAGUGUAACCAAUGUUUUCUGGACUGUGUGCCCCUUGCUGAAGGACUUUGCCAAGUUUAGCAAGGUGACUCUCCGCUACAAUUCGAACUUACAAAACGCUUUUUGGAAGGUCCCCAUGGAAGAAAGACUGUGUCCACCCUAGCCUGAUAAUGUUCAACUGCUAAACAGAUGUAUGGAUUUUGAGCCCAACCGUCGUUUUUUGGACUUGUACCAUCAGCUGAAAGACUGUCAAGUUUACCAAGUCUACGCUACAAGUUGAUAUUGAUGCUACAUUUGUAAUUUGUGCAUAUUGAAACGUUGCCAUUUGUUGACUGCAGAAAGACUAUAUGUCUCCGCUACAAGUACAACUCGCGUAGUGAUGUUGACGCUACAAUUGUAACUAAGACUUUUUUUGGAAGGUCGCCGAAGAAGAAAGACUUUUUAGAGACUAGUCAGAUGAUGUUCAACUAAUACAAUUUGGACAAUGAGGGCGCCAUUUAUUUUUCUAUAAUGAAGAGGAGAGGACCAUCUAGUCUGCGCCGAACUUACAGCCAUGGCUAUGCAUGUGGCUGUUGCUAUGGCAUCUUGCUGCUAAUGCAUGUUGACAUGGUGAUCAAGCCACAUUUACAAUCACUACCUCAGUAACAGCCUAAGAUUAUUGUUUACUCAAUUUGGCUUUUCUUGACUCCAUCAAACUCCUAUUUUACAAUGCGCUCUGUACUCGCAUCAGUUGAAUUAAAAUUGGCAUGCCUGGCCCUCAUGCCAAGCAGUGUUUGUUUAUCGUGGAUCACUAAUUUAAUUAAAUGCAAGUACAAUACCCAUUUGACUUUUGUUGGUGUCGAAGCAGUUAGGAAUACAACUCUAAAGAUUGUAUAGCUUUGGUAAAGAGAAGUCAAUGAAUACUAGGAUACCAAAUAGUGAAAUAUGAGCAUCAUUUAAAAUGUGUUUUUUUCUUGCUAAGACCGUUUGGCUACAAAUAACUAAAUGAGUGAAAUUGUUAACAGCAAUUGCAGGGGGACUUGCAUUUUGUCAAAAUUAAACUGCGAGUUAGCACUUUGCUCAGAAAUGCCAGAAACCAUGGCAAGAAAAGCUUGGGGUUAGUCGAACAAUUCUUAUGUCAAAUAAUUUAUUUUAUGAAGGUAGAAAACCUGACAAUCUUGUGACAAAAUGUUUAUACAAAAUAUAUUCCAUUUUGAAGGGUUAUAUCAAAGUUAUUCUUGGCUAGCUAAAUAAUUAUCAUAUUCAAAGAAGUGUGGUAAAAGUGUACUUGAGCACAAAAAAGAAAAAUGCGUGUACUAGUGAAAUGCGCGUUGAGCAGGGCCCAAUUUUCAUAGAGCUACUUUAAUAGAAAAUAUUGCUUUGCAUAUUGUUUUAGCCAUUUUGUGUGCUUAAGCAUGUAGCUCUAUGUAAAUAGGCCCAUCCAGACUCCUGUUGCCAUAUCAACACAAACCAUGGCAGCAAUCACAACACGGCUCAGUUUCACAAAGAGCUUAGACAAUAAGUUCAGUCUUAGUUACUUGGCAACGUGUGAUUUCACAGUACAAAUCACCAUGGUAAUAUUGACAACUUGUCUUUGUGAAUCUUGGUGUUUUGUGAAACCGAACUCUGCACUCCUCACCCUAACCCUGCACUAACGUAACACUCUAACUCUAACUUUAACCAAUAGCACUAAUACCAUAACAAAUAUCACUCACUAUAUAAUAUUUAACUAGUAACACCUAACCCUCACAGCAUCAUGCUACAUAUGCAAUGUGCAAUUUGAAUCAAAUAGAAAAGUGUCAUUAAUAUAUAAAAACAUGUAUUUUGUCUAUGCGUGCUCAAGUACAACUUUGUGGCUGGGUGGAAGAUGAAUCAAUAUUAUCAUUUAUUUGUUGUGUUUAUUCAUCUCAAUUUACUUGAAUAUGAUACUGUAGUAAAAACUUGAAAGUUCAAGCAUUUUUUAUAAAAGCAAAGAAGUAUGCAUUAUUUGCAAAUUGUUGUAGGAUGAGAUGUGUUAUCAAGUAUUUUGUUAAAUUAUGUGAGUUAAGCCAAGGUGCGAAAUAAGACCAACAGUAACAUGCAAACUAUCGUGUAUGUGUCAAUUAUUGUAAUUAAUAAGUAUCGGUGUAUUCUGGGAUUUAAGGGAGAGAUGUAUCAAGCGUUUCAGAUGACUGAUGAUAAAGCGCUAUGGGAAUAAGUGUACAAAAACCUUUUAAAAUACACAAUUUUUUAGUUGAAUUGAUUCUAUGUAUACAGAUGCCCAUGUCAUAUUUUAUAGAGCCGCAGUUAAGGGGUUAACACUUACAAAAUCUAAAUGAAAACCUAAUUUAAAAUUAUGUGUUUACUUUUUGUUAGAGUAGUAAAGUAUGUCACCAUGUGGCAUGUUAGAGGACCAGAUUUAGACUAUUGAGUCACACUACUUGUAAAGUUUGUUUAAUUUUUGAUUAUUGUUUAUUGGGUGGUUAUUGAUGACCUAUCCAAAAUCGGACAAGAGUUUCAAGCCAGAAGUGACCUAAUUUGCAUAUUUAAAUUAGGUGGUAAUUAGCAAUCUUUAAGGUCAAUUGUCUAAA